rnacentral:rRNA from 1 species
UAUAUUGCACAAUGGGCGAAAGCCUGAUGCAGCGACGCCGCGUGGGGGAUGAAGGCCUUCGGGUUGUAAACCCCUUUCAGCAGGGUAGAAGCGAGAGUGACGGUACCUGCAGAAGAAGCGCCGGCUAACUACGUGCCAGCCGCCGCGGUAAUUCGUAGGGCGCAAGCGUUGUCCGGAAGUAUUGGGCGUAAAGAGCGCGUAGGCGGUCAGUCUCGUCUGCUGUGAAAGCCCGAGGCUCAACCACGAGCCGGCAGUGGGUACGGGCUGACUAGAGUGCGGUAGGGGGAACUGGAAUUCCUGGUGUAGCGGUGGAAUGCGCAGAUAUCAGGAGGAGCACCGAUGGCAGAGGCAGGUCUCUGGGCCGCAACUGACGCUGAGGAGCGAAAGCAUGGGGAGCGAACA